rnacentral:rRNA from 1 species
GUCCUCUUGUUUUAAUUUGAGGUCAGACCUGCCCAGUGAGUUAAUAUUUAACGGCCGCGGUAUUUUGACCGUGCAAAGGUAGCAUAAUCAUUAGUCUUUUAAUAGAAGGCUGGAAUGAAGGGUUAAACGAAACAUUAACUGUCUCAUUUUUAUAAAUUAGAAUUUAAUUUUUGAGUUAAAAAGCUUAAAUUUUGUUGGAGGACGAGAAGACCCUAUAGAGCUUUAUAUAUUAUUGGUUUAUAAUGUUUUGUUUUAUAUAUUUUUAUUAGUUAAUAGUUUAUUUUGUUGGGGUGACAAAAACACGUGAUAAACCUUUUUACUUUAUUUACAUAAAUGCAUGAAUACUUGAUCCAUUAUUAUUGAUUAUUAGAUUAAGUUACCUUAGGGAUAACAGCGUAAUCUUCUUUGGGAGUUCUUAUUUACAAGAAGGCUUGCGACCUCGAUGUUGGAUUAAGAUUAUUAUUUGGUGCAGUAGCUGAAUUAAUAGGUCUGUUCGACCUUUAAAAUCUUACAUGAUCUGAGUUCAGACCGG